rnacentral:rRNA from 1 species
GACGAACGCUGGCGGCGUGCUUAACACAUGCAAGUCGAACGGAAAGGCCCUGCUUUUGUGGGGUGCUCGAGUGGCGAACGGGUGAGUAACACGUGAGUAACCUGCCCUUGACUUUGGGAUAACUUCAGGAAACUGGGGCUAAUACCGGAUAGGAGCUCCUGCUGCAUGGUGGGGGUUGGAAAGUUUCGGCGGUGUGGGAUGGACUCGCGGGUUAUCAGCUAGUUGGUGGGGUAGUGGCUUACCAAGGCAUAGACGGGUAGCCGGCAUGGGAGGGUGACCGGGCACAAGACGACUAAGGUAGGGAGAAGAGUGGAACGUGGGGCAAUGGGCGAAAGCCUGGCCCAGUAAGCGGGCGUGUGAGAAGAAGACGUUCGGUUCGGAAAGCCGGCCUGCGGGGUAUGAACAGCUUUCGCCUAAGACGAAGCGUGAGUGACGGUACUGGGUGAAGAAGCACCGGCUAACUACGUG